rnacentral:tRNA from 1 species
GGAGGUGGCUCAGUGGUAGAGCGCUCACCUGGCAUGUGUGAGGCCCUGGGUUCCAUCCUCAGCACCA